ensembl:lncRNA novel transcript
UGCUUUCUUGGAUCAUCAGAAACUGCUGAUGCAAAUAGGGUAUUCUGUGGUCAACUUGGUGCCGUGUAUGUGUUCAGUGAAGCACUCAACCCAGCACAGAUAUUUGCAAUUCAUCAGUUAGGACCUAGAUAUAAGAGUACCUUCAAGUUUAAAUCUGAGAGUGAUAUUCAUUUGGCAGAACAUCAUAAACAGGUUUUGUAUGAUGGGAAACUUGCAAGUAGCAUUACCUUUACAUAUACUGCUAAGGCCACUGAUGCUCAACUCUG